rnacentral:rRNA from 1 species
UGCUUAACACAUGCAAGUCGAACGAAGCAUUUGCGACGGAGUCUUUCGGGAUGAAGAUGCUUAUGACUGAGUGGCGGACGGGUGAGUAACGCGUGGGUAACCUGCCUUAUACAGGGGGAUAGCAGUUGGAAACGACUGGUAAUACCGCAUAAGCGGCACAGUAUCGCAUGAUACGGUGUGAAAAACUGAGGUGGUAUAAGAUGGGCUCGCGUCCGAUUAGAUAGUUGGUGAGGUAACGGCUCACCAAGUCGACGAUCGGUAGCCGGACUGAGAGGUUGAACGGCCACAUUGGGACUGAGACACGGCCCAGACUCCUACGGGAGGCAGCAGUGGGGAAUAUUGCACAAUGGGCGAAAGCCUGAUGCAGCAACGCCGCGUGAGGGAAGACGGUUUUCGGAUUGUAAACCUCUGUUUCGGUGACGAACAAAUGACGGUAACCGAGUAGGAAGCCACGGCUAACUACGUG